rnacentral:rRNA from 1 species
CACGUAGGGGCCAAGCGUUGUCCGGAUUUAUUGGGCGUAAAGAGCUCGUAGGCGGUUCGGUAAGUCGGGUGUGAAAACUCUGGGCUCAACCCAGAGACGCCACCCGAUACUGCUGUGACUAGAGUCCGGUAGGGGAGUGGGGAAUUCCUGGUGUAGCGGUGAAAUGCACAGAUAUCAGGAGGAACACCGGUGGCGAAGGCGCCACUCUGGGCCGGUACUGACGCUGAGGAGCGAAAGCGUGGGUAGCAAACAGG